rnacentral:rRNA from 2 species
UGGCUUGAGCAUUUGCCUUUUGUGAUACGCUUUCAAAGAGUCAGGUUGUUUGGGAAUGCAGCCUAAAUUGGGUGGUAAAUCUCACCUAAAGCUAAAUAUUGGCGAGAAACCGAUAGCGAACAAGUACCGUGAGGGAAAGAUGAAAAGAACUUUGAAAAGAGAGUUAAACAGUAUGUGAAAUUGUUAAAAGGGAACCGUUUGGAGCCAGACUGGCUUGUCUGUAAUCAAUCUAGGCUUCGGCCUGGAUGCACUUGCAGGCUAUGCCUGCCAACGACAAUUUGACUUGAGGGAAAAAACUAGGGGAAAUGUGGCCCACUUGUGGGUGUUAUAGUCCCUUAGAAAAUACCUUGGGUUGGAUUGAGGAACGCAGCGAAUGCUUAUUGGCGAGUUUUCCAGGAAGGUUUUCUGAGGUACUACGGUAUCAAGGUUGAUCUUU